rnacentral:rRNA from 1 species
UACGGGAGGCAGCAGUGGGGAAUAUUGCACAAUGGGCGAAAGCCUGAUGCAGCUAUGCCGCGUGUAUGAAGAAGGCCUUAGGGUUGUAAAGUACUUUCAUCGGGGAGGAAAAACAAAACUAAUAAUUUUAUUUCUUGACGUUACCCGAAAAAGAAGCACCGGCUAACUCCGUGCCAGCAGCCGCGGUAAUACGGAGGGUGCUAGCGUUAAUCAGAAUUACUGGGCGUAAAGAGCACGUAGGUGGUUUUUUUAAAGUCAGAUGUGAAAUCCCUGGGCUUAACCUAGGAACUGCAUUUUGAAACUGAAAUACUAGAGUAUCGUAGAGGGAGGUAGAAUUCUAGGUGUAGCGGUGAAAUGCGUAGAUAUCUGGAGGAAUACCUGUGGCGAAAGCGGCCUCCUAAACGAAUACUGACACUGAGGGUGCGAAAAGCGUGGGGAGCAAACAGGGAUUAGAUACC